rnacentral:rRNA from 1 species
CCUACGGGGGACAGCAGUGAGGAAUAUUGGUCAAUGGACGAGAGUCUGAACCAGCCAAGUAGCGUGAAGGAUGACUGCCCUAUGGGUUGUAAACUUCUUUUAUAUGGGAAUAAAAUGUUCCACGUGUGGGAUUUUGUAUGUACCAUAUGCAUAAGGAUCGGCUAACUCCGUGCCAGCAGCCGCGGUAAUACGGAGGAUCCGAGCGUUAUCCGGAUUUAUUGGGGUUAAAGGGAGCGUAGGUGGAUUGUUAAGUCAGUUGUGAAAGUUUGCGGCACAACCGUAAAAUUGCAGUUGAAACUGGCAGUCUUGAGUACAGUAGAGGUGGGCGGAAUUCGUGGUGGAGCGGUGAAAUGCUUAGAUAUCACGAAGAACUCCGAUUGCGAAGGCAGUUCACUGGACUGCAACUGACACUGAGGCUCGAAAGUGUGGGUAUCAAACAGGAUUAGAUACCCGAGUAGUC